rnacentral:rRNA from 1 species
GAUGAACGCUGGCGGCGUGCCUAAUACAUGCAAGUCGAGCGAACGGACGAGAGGCUUGCUUCUCUGAUGUUAGCGGCGAACGGGUGAGUAACACGUGGAUAACCUACCUAUAAGACUGGGAUAACUUCGGGAAACCGGAGCUAAUCCCGGAUGAUAUUUUGAACCGCAUGGUUCAAAAGUGAAAGACGGUCUUGCUGUCACUUAUAGAUGGAUCCGUGCUGCAUUAGCUAGUUGGUAAGGUAACGGCUUACCAAGGCAACGAUGCAUCGCCGACCUGAGAGGGUGAUCGGCCACACUGGAACUGAGACACGGUCCAGACUCCUACGGGAGGCAGCAGUAGGGAAUCUUCCGCAAUGGGCGAAAGCCUGACGGAGCAACGCCGCGUGAGUGAUGAAGGUCUUCGGAUCGUAAAACUCUGUUAUUAGGGAAGAACAUAUGUGUAAGUAACUGUGCACAUCUUGACGGUACCUAAUCAGAAAGCCACGGCUAACUACGUG